CACCCAAUAACCCGACCUCCUUUGUUUUUCUCAGCGCGCUACGCACGGUCUGGAGACCAGAGUCUGAAAUCAAGUUUCAGGAGGUGUAUGUGAGUCUCAGAAUCGGAUCCUCAGGUCCUCAAACACGCGUGCUUUUAACAUUCCGUGUUCUGGAAUCAGGGUUCCACGAGCGACUCUGUACCCUGGGACCAAGGACCUCAGCCGGGAGGUCAGGGCUGGGCUGCGACACAGCACUGCCUUCCCAGCCUGCGUGUCUGCGUGGUCACGACUAAAGGUCCUGUGCGGCCACACACUGAAGAGUGGCCCCGGCUGGUGCGGCUCAGUGGACUGAGCGCCGGCCUGUGGAUUCCCAGGGAGGGCACACGCCUGGGUUUUGGGCCCGGUCCCCAGCUGGGGGCGUGCGAGAGGCAACUGAUCAAUGUUUCUCUCACACACUGAUGUUUCUUUCUCCUUUCCUUCCCUUCCCUUCUCUCUAAAAUAAAAAGUUUUCAAAAAUUA